CUGUUUGCUGCUGCAGCAUUAUCAAGAUUCACAAGAGGCGUUUUAGGGUCUUUUUUGAUUGAUUGAUCAAUCAAUAAGCCCUUUUAUGAUUGAGAAUCUUGAUGAUGCUGCAGUGGCAAUAAG
rfam:Gossypium raimondii Chr11_contig_1420, whole genome shotgun sequence.